rnacentral:rRNA from 1 species
GGUUUCCGUAGGUGAACCUGCGGAAGGAUCAUUAGUGAAUUAUUGGGGGUCUACUUGUAGAGCCUGACCUCCACUUCUAACACUGUGCACUUGAUGGGGAGGUAAUGGAACUUUCGAGUGAAACUACCUUGCGGGUUCAUUUUAAACAUUAGUCAAAGUAUGUAAUGAAAUAAAAAACAAAAAAAAACUUUCAACAACGGAUCUCUUGGGUCUCGCAUCGAUGAAGAACGCAGCGAAAUGUGAUAAGUAAUGUGAAUUGCAGAAUUCAGUGAAUCAUCGAAUCUUUGAACGCACCUUGCGCUCCCUGGUAUUCCGGGGAGCAUGCCUGUUUGAGUGUCAUGAACUCUUCAACCCACCAGUUUCUAGUAGACUGCGUUGGUGUUUGGAUUUUGAGCGUUGCUAGUCUGACUAGCUCGUUCGUAAUAUAUUAGCAUCUCUAAUUCGAAUUCGGAUUGACUCAGUGUAAUAGACUAUUCGCUGAGGACACUUUUAUUAGUGGGCGUACUAGAACCAGUAGAAGCUUCCAACUAUUGUAGUCAACUUUAAUUUAGACCUCAGAUCAGGGAGGAUUACCCGCUGAACUUAAGCAUAUCAAUAAGCGGAGGAA